rnacentral:misc_RNA from 1 species
GAAAUGCGAUAAGUAAUGUGAAUUGCAGAAUUCAGUGAAUCAUCGAAUCUUUGAACGCCCCUUGCGCUCCUUGGUAUUCCUUGGAGCAUGCCUGUUUGAGUAUCAUGAAAUCUUCAACGUAAAUCUUUUGUUAACUCAAUUGGUUUCUACUUUGGUAUUGGAGGUCUUUGCAGCUUCACACCUGCUCCUCUUUGUUCAUUAGCUGGAUCUCAGUGUUAUGCUUGGUUCCACUCGGCGUGAUAAGUUAUCUAUCGCUGAGGACACUGUAAAAGGUGGCCAAGGUAAAUGCAGAUGAACCGCUUCUAAUAGUCCAUUGACUUGGACAAUACUUUUAUGAUCUGAUCUCAAAUCAGGUAGGACUACCCGCUGAACUUAAGC